UAUAUAAACAGAGGAACGACAAGAAGCAGCGGCAGAGCGGAGACAGACGUAUAGUAAGAACUUAUUCUGCGGUGCUGUUGGUGAUUGUCAGUUUUACCAUCUGAGCGUCUGUCUGAUGGAGCUGUCAGCCACUCAGUGUACAAACACGGGUCACAUUGAUCCAGGAUGAUGAACCAGAUGUGGUCCAGGUGUCCUUGAUGUGGACUGUCCUUCAUCCACCCACAGGUGGAUGGUUUCCAUGGCAGAGCUGUUGCAUCUGUUGAACUGUUAGCAUCAGUGCUACUGAAGCAGGUAAAUGUUCCUGCUUUCUGUCCAGAAGUCAAAAGGGAGGAGGAGGCAUUAACUGGUAUGACAGAUCAUUUGCUUUACUCUCAUUUUUUGAGUUAUACUAAACUACACUUCGCUGUGAUGAUGCUUUUUCCUGCCAUUCGUAGUUUCCACCAGAGGUCAAAAGACCAAAGAUGGUCCAAACCUUCCUUGGAUGUCUGAGCGAAUUCUUUGUUAUAGUUCUGACCCAACAGUCUGAACUAAUGUAAACUAAUUUUUGGGGUUUUUUUUGUUCUGCAGUUGUGCCUUGAACAUGGAGUUUCUUCAGUUGGAUUUCUCUUCAGUUUAUCAAGUAUUAAAAGAUUUGAAAUA